GAUGAAGAACGCAGUGAAAUGCGAUAAGUAGUGUGAAUUGCAGAAUUCAGUGAAUCAUCGAAUCUUUGAACGCACAUUGCGCCCUUUGGUAUUCCUUAGGGCAUGCCUGUUCGAGCGUCAUUUAAACCUUCAAGCUCAGCUUGGUGUUGGGUGACUGUCCGCCGCCUCCGGGCGGUCGGACUCGCCUCAAAUUGAUUGGCGGCCGGUACUUUGGCUUCGAGCGCAGCAGAAACGCGAACUCGAGGCCGUCGUCCUGGCUCCCAGAAGCUAUCUUCACAAUUUUGACCUCGGAUCAGGUAGGGAUACCCGCUGAACUUAAGCAUAUCAAUAAGCGGAGGA
rnacentral:misc_RNA from 1 species